UUGAACUAACAUGGAUGCAGAGAAACACUAAUGGUAUGCAGAGCCUGAAAAAGAGUACCUUUAUCUGCAUGGUCUAAGAGGGCCCACACGUUUUCACGGUGUCCGCUGACAAGAGAGAGAGACAGAGAGACAAAUAAACAGCAAAAAGACAUCUGUAUGAAACGUGGCUAUCAUUUCAUUUGACCAGUGCAGCUACACCGGAAGUAUUGCCAGGAGACCAGACAAGUCUCUCAACACAGGAAGCUCUGAGUCCCGUUUUGGGUCACGGUGAAGAUACAGUAGGUCCACAUCAACACAGAGACACAGGCGGCCUCUGUGAAGGCCAGCU